GGCGGAGCCGCGCUGGGGCGGCCCGGGAGCUCCCGGUGCCCGGCCCGAGCCCUCCCGGCCCCGGGGGAUCCCGGCUGGGCGCCGGGACACGGCAGCGCCGGGACAGGGCAGCGCCGGUCCCCGCCGCGGUCUCGCCGCUCGGGAUGGCCGCUGUGAAGAGUCCGGCCGGGCAGCAGAGAGGAGCGGGCAGCGCCGCUGAGUCCCGGCUGCUGCUUUAAAGCCCGGGCAAAGUGAACAGAGAGUGUUGCAGGCGGUUUAAUAAAAUAAAAGCGCCCGCUGGGUGCUACUGGAAAAGAGCUCAACUCCCUUCCUUAAAAAAAUCGUCAUGUUCGACUCUCGCCAGCUCCUGGCCAAAAGGGAGCGGAGGAAUUGUAAACCGGGAGAAGCAGCAGGAGCAAAACGUUUCAUUAAAAAGCAAAAGGAAUAAUGCGAAAGAGCGGUUAUGUUGAUCGACUCAUCUGUGCUGUGCCACGGAAGGCAGGUCCCUUGCUGGAAAAAAGCGGAGUUUAACUCUCAGAGCCCCUUGGGAUCAGUGCCCUCAGCAGACAAGCCAGACUGAUCUGCCUAGAAGCUGGAAUGCCAAGGCACAGCAGGAGAAGGUGAAAUGACCUGUGUAUUUUCGAUACAGAGGUUUAUGCUGAGUACAGUGCACAUGAAAGAACACCAUCCCAAAAAAAGAAAUGCUUUCGUGACUAAAGAGCUGUCUGAGAUCCACUGGCAUUGCUCUAAUAAGAGAGGACUGGCUUACAGCAAAACGUCCUUGAUUUUUGGAUUCCAGAAGUCAAAGUGUUAUGCCUCAUAG
rnacentral:lncRNA from 1 species